rnacentral:rRNA from 1 species
UACGUAGGGGGCGAGCGUUAUCCGGAAUUACUGGGUGUAAAGGGAGCGUAGACGGCGAGGUAAGCCUGAAGUGGAAGCCCGCGGCCCAACCGCGGAACUGCUUUGGGAACUGUUUUGCUGGAGUAUGGGAGGGGUAAGCGGAAUUCCUGGUGUAGCGGUGAAAUGCGUAGAUAUCAGGAGGAACACCGGUGGCGAAGGCGGCUUACUGGACCAUAACUGACGUUGAGGCUCGAAAGCGUGGGGAGCGAACA